AAGGCCCUGUGUCCAGUCUCUGUACAUGUUAGAUUGUUUCCUUCCGUACGGUUUACUAGUACAGACAAUAUAGAAGACCCCAUCUUUAACCCAACGAGCCACUCAACCCUUGAGUUAAACGAACAAGCAACAGACAACAUCCACCAACACGCAACAGACGUCAACAUCACACGGGAGGGGAUCAAGAUCAGAUACUCAGGUCUGUAUUACGUGUACAGUAACGUUAACUUUAAACCUAACUCGACUCGUUAUUCUUCCGAAUUUCAUUAUCAGACGUGGUUCCAAUACGUCCACAGACACUCAGUCACCAACCCAGUGUUAUCAGGUGUCUUGUUGAGGACAGUUCACACCUGUUGUAGCAACUGUACAGGUAGUCAGGAGACGGCUUA